UUAAAGGGUCCGUAGGCGGGCCAAUAAGUCAGUGGUGAAAUCCUAUCGAAUAACGAUAGAACUGCCAUUGAAACUGUUGGUCUUGAAUUAUUUUGAAGUUGGCGGAAUGAGUAGUGUAGCGGUGAAAUGCAUAGAUAUUACUCAGAACACCGAUUGCGAAGGCAGCUGACUAAGAAUAUAUUGACGCUGAUGGACGAAAGCGUAGGUAGCGAACAGGAUUAGAUACCCUGGUAGUCUACGCAGUAAACGAUGGAUACUCGUUGUCGGGAAAAUUGAGACUCGGUGGCUAAGCGAAAGUGAUAAGUAUCCCACCUGGGGAGUACGAUCGCAAGAUUGAAACUCAAAGGAAUUGACGGGGGCCCGCACAAGCGGUGGAGCAUGUGGUUUAAUUCGAUGAUACGCGAGGAACCUUACCUGGGCUUAAAUGUAGAUUGACAGGAUUGGAAACAGUUUUUCCUUCGGGCAAUUUACAAGGUGCUGCAUGGUUGUCGUCAGCUCGUGCCGUGAGGUGUCAGGUUAAGUCCUAUAACGAGCGCAACCCCUAUCGAUAGUUGCUAGCAGGUCAUGCUGAGGACUCUAUUGAGACUGCCGGUGCAAACCGUGAGGAAGGUGGGGAUGACGUCAAAUCAUCACGGCCCUUACGUCCAGGGCCACAC
rnacentral:rRNA from 1 species